CACAGAAACUCUUCAAGAUCAAGGACCCAUUCUUCAUUUAAAAAAAAAGAAGAAGAAGAAGAAGAAGAAGAAAUUCCGUGUAAAUCCAGUAAACAUCAGAAAAUGCCAGACACAGAAUGGAAAUGAACUCUUGCUAUGACUUGAAUAUGGAAUAUUUUCCACAGGCUCAUAUGUUCAAACACUUGGUCUCCAACUGACAGCAGGGACCCUCACUGAUGGAUGGAGGAUACUGUAGACAGGCAUCUGAGGGAUGCAGUGUGGACCUUCUUCUGACCUAGUUCUCUACUUCCUGGCUGGUCAAGAUUCGAGCAGGCUCAUCCGUGAACAGGGCCAUGCCAGCCC
rnacentral:lncRNA from 1 species